ACAAAAGGCUCAGUAGAUUAGAAAAUAAAGCAGACCACAUUACAAGUAAAGAAAUUAAUAUUAAUAAUGUCGAAGAAGAUUUUGCUUUCAACACUAUUUCUUCAAUGGAUGAAUUACAACAGUUAGAAGAAAAUUUAAAAAACGAAGAAUUUUUCGUUAAAAUGAGAGACUUUUUGAAAUUGAAAGGUGGAACAAACUUACAAGACAAGAUAAAAAAUAUUUUCAGAACUUUAAUAAAGGACGAAAUAUUAAUGUUAUUUAGCUGGAAAGGAGCUCGAGGAAAAAAUGAAUUCCGAAGUUUUAAGAUUGUCAGUUUAAUUAUAGCUGUUGUUCGUUCAUACGACGCAUAUUCAACCGAGCAAAUAAUUAUAAAAAUUAUUAUCAAUUGGAUCGUUCAAGCUCCUGCACGUGUUCGUA